rnacentral:tRNA from 1 species
GGUGGCGUGGCCGAGUUGGUCUAAGGCGUCGGAUUUAAGAAUUUCUUGAUUCCCGAUGGGAGGAUUCCCGCGCGAGUUCGAACCUCGCCGCCACCA